UAGGGAAUCUUCCACAAUGGGCGAAAGCCUGAUGGAGCAACGCCGCGUGAGUGAUGAAGGUUUUCGGAUCGUAAAACUCUGUUGUUAGGGAAGAACACCCGAGAGAGGAUCUCGGACUGACGGUACCUAACGAGAAAGCCCCGGCUAACUACGUGCCAGCAGCCGCGGUAAUACGUAGGGGGCAAGCGUUGUCCGGAAUUAUUGGGCGUAAAGGGUGCUCAGGCGGAUUUGUAAGUCAGAGGUGAAAUCUUACAGCUUAACUGUGAAACUGCCUUUGAUACUGCAAGCCUAGAGUAUGGAAGAGAGUGAUGGAAUAUCUGGUGUAGCAGUGAAAUGCGUAGAUAAGAGAUAGAACACCAAUGGCGAAGGCAGUCACUUGGUCCAUUACUGACGCUAAAGCACGAAAGCGUGGGUAGCAAACA
rnacentral:rRNA from 1 species